GACGGCUUGUCCGAGUGGUCUAUGGAGUUGGUCUCGAAAGCCAAUGUACUUUGUACGCGCAGGUUCAAAUCCUGCAGCCGUCG